rnacentral:rRNA from 1 species
AUUGAACGCUGGCGGCAGGCCUAACACAUGCAAGUCGGGCGCGCGGCGGACGGGUGAGUAAUGUAUGGGGCUCUGCCUGAUGGUGGGGGCUAACUACUGGAAACGGUAGCUAAUACCGCAUACCAUCAGAUGAACCCCUAUGGGAUUAGCGUGUAGGUGGGGUAACGGCUCACCUAGGAGACGAUCCCGAGCUGGUCUGAGAGGAUGAUCAGCCACAGUGGGACGGAGACACGGCCCAGACGCCUACGUGAGGCAGCAGUGGGGAAUAUUGCACAAUGGGCGCAAGCCUGAUGCAGCCAUGCCGCGUGUAUGAAGAAGGUCUUCGGGUUGUAAAGGACUUUCAGUCGGGAGGCGUUACCGACAGAAGAAGCACCGGCUAACUCCGUGCCAGCAGCCGCGGUAAUAC